UCCGCUGUGUCGGACUCGAGACAAAUUCAUUACUAGAAACUGCUUUCAUAUGAGAUGCUUUCAUCCAUGAAUGGUGAUAAUCCAUCAUGACUGAACUUAGAAUUUGCUCGAGAGAAACUUCAUAUGUUUCUAUUCUUUCCGUCAAAAACCCGUAAAGUGUAGUAUUACUUCGGAUAGAGCAGAAGGAAGGCCUGGUCAAAGUCGAAUCAACAACAUCCAUGAACGGGGGAAAGUGGAGAGGGCAAUCUAACGCGACUCAGAGAGAUUUCACUCAGUUAGCCCGCGUUAAAUGUGGGCAGCUACGCAGCCGUUAGCUGUGGGUUUUUUCUGAAACAUGUGAUGAUGGUCAUUUAACUCAAUAAGUAAAUAGUUAUUUGUAUAUUUUCUAUAUCAUCCAGUGAAACACUUCCAAGAAAUUCCAUUGUCCGUAAUGAAGGUCGUGUAUAAUGCAUAAUUGCAGUCUGUGAUUAACAUUCAACGAAAGUGUAGGCUGAGGCUGAAUUUCUUUGAGAGCAUAAGGACCACCAAGAGUUUCGAUCGUUUUUAUGUGAGUCUCAGGUACCAAAGUACCCACUUACCUAAAUCGAACAAGAAUAUGUCACUUGUGGAAAACGUUUUUAACGCAAGACUUAAAUAGACCUAUGAAAGUAGAAUGGGUGUGCUUCUAUAAAUGUAUUACUAAACGAGACAACAAUGUUCUAAGUAAAAAACAUAUAUAAACUUUCGUUGAGGCACUGAUAAUUGCAAUAACAAGCAUGGUGAUCUUAUGCUGUUAUCAAUUCGAAGCGGCUGUCAACACAUAUGUGUGAUCUAUGGAGGAAUAUACAAAUAAUCGGAGAAGUCAAAAUUUUGUGCGAGACCCAAUGGGCACGUUUCACCGACAGCCACUCCUCGAGCGACUUCGUAAACAGUCCGUUCGAUUGUUAAUGUCAGCCGAUCAUGCCUCCAUGGAGAUAAAAUUGCCAUCGAACUUUAUCGAUGAUUUAACACAGUGCCUUGAUGCAGGGGACCCGGAACAUAUCGAGCCUUGCCUGGGUCUUCUAUCUAGAGUGACGUUUACUCAGCCUGCGGCGAAGCAGCAUGAGAUUCAGGAUCUUAAAGUGUACAUUUUCUGGAAGAGACUUUAUGUCAAGCGUGUUGGCUACUCCAAAAAGAACAAAAGCUUCAUCGAAGCCAAUACGUUAAAAGCGGCUUCAGUUGUUAUCUGCUCGCCGACAACACCCGCAAUAGUGAAGCGGUCCGUUAAAGGAGAUAUUCUAUUGAUUGUACUGAAUCGAUAUAUCAAAGCGGGAUUGACGCCGCCGCACGAUUUUUUCGUCAGUCUAACUCGUUAUGCCAAGCCAAUAAGUGAUCGCCAAGCGGUCGUGCUUGCCGAGUGUCUGUUAGAGCGGACUCAUGACGAGACGUGGGCCUACCUAAUUCCUGUGUAUCCACAGUUAUUGAAAUUUCUGCUCGUUCUGAACUAUGGCGGUGAGGCAUUCUUGAUGAGGGUGAGGCUCGCUUGCGAUAAGUGGCCGUUGCUUAAUGAUUUAAUUUACGAAUAUGCUCAGACGAUUGGUGAUGAAAAUGCGAAAAACACUAUUUUUGGGAAGAUUAUUGACUGCCGCAUCGAAUCAAGUAUUCCAUGCAUGAAAUAGAAAACUGGAUCUGUAUUGUAGUAAGAAAAAACCAGUAAAUAGAUAUUUAUAAAUCUCACAAGUGUUAAGGUAUGAUUACUGUUACUAAAAGAUUUCCGAAAAUAAUAACAUUAAAGAAAUGACUGUGCACUACUAUCGUUUAUCGUUUAACAUAUUCAUAAUUGUUUACUGUAAAAUGGUGAGUUUCUUACAAUUAAGAUUAGUAUAAUUUUAAUAUAUAUGAAGGGCACUGAAAUAAUGGCGUAAAUAUCUCAUCGAAUGUUGUAAACUAUAGCAUGUUGCGUGCGUCAGUAUAUUUCAAUAGAUAUUAUUUGAAUUGUACUUGAAUGAUUAAUAUCCCGUGCUUUUGCGGCAAUUUAGCCAUACGAAACUAAUGUGCUUAAUUGUAGAUUGCUAGAUUACUAGACUAGCCCAUUGUAAUCAGAAGAUUGUACAGGCCUCAAACUUUUAUUUAAGACGAACAAAAACAAUCAAGGAAGCCGUUUUGUAUUUCGGUAAUCUUUUAUUAGACGUAGCAUAUGGCUAUUGCUAAAUGUGUCUUUUAAUAGACAAUGGAUCUUUUUUUACUGCACCUUAUUUCCUUCCUUAAUGCCGCAUGUUUACUAAUAUCAGUGAAACAAUAUUACUGGUUGUUGUGGAUUAAAAGGCAGAUAAAUUAGCGGAAGAGCAGGUAGAAUGAACGGAAACAGUAGAUAUUUAUACUCUGCAAAACCUAAUGUGAAGUUGGAAAAAUAUGGCUAACUCACUACUAGAUAUAAAUAGAUUAUAUAGCUGGUAAUUUUAAAGAAAAAAAAACUGAAAUUUGAAAUACGUCCAAAGGGCCUAGCGUUUCUCACGUGUAUCGACAAAUACGGAUCGACCAUCAAAAACAACUAAAUGUUGCAUAUGUAUUCAAAAGCCGAUGGCACUCACAGCAUGCUGUACGAGAUACCAGUACUGAGGAAAACACUGAGUUGAUGACGGUCGAGCGAAUAGUGAAGCAUUACUUAAUCAAAAAGUGGGAGUAAUCGAUGUUCACACAAGAUUCGGAAACUGUCGGAGAGAGCCUUGUAAUAGCUAAUUCAGAUGCAAUAAAAAACCGUCUUCCCAAUCUCUUGCUGUAACAGAAGUGUUGUGCAGUUCUUGAAAUUGACUAAGAUAGCUGUUGAUCGGGGAAGCAAC